rnacentral:tRNA from 1 species
UCUAGUGUAGCUUAACUUAAAAAGCUUUGAUUUUGUAAAUCAAGGAUGAAUUUUCCGUUAGAU